AUUGAACGCUGGCGGCAUGCCUUACACAUGCAAGUCGAACGGCAGCACGGGGGCGACCCUGGUGGCGAGUGGCGAACGGGUGAGUAAAGCAUCGGAACGUACCCGGGAGUGGGGGAUAACGUAGCGAACGUUACGCUAAUACCGCAUUUCCUGUGGGCAGGAAGUGGGGGGAUCCCAAGACCUCUCGCUUUCGGAGCGGCCGAUGUCGGAUUAGCGAGUUGGUGAGGUAAAGGCUCACCAAGGCGACGAUCCGUAGCGGGUCUGAGAGGAUGAUCCGCCACACUGGGACUGAGACACGGCCCAGACUCCUACGGGAGGCAGCAGUGGGGAAUUUUGGACAAUGGGGGCAACCCUGAUCCAGCCAUGCCGCGUGAGUGAAGAAGGCCUUCGGGUUGUAAAGCUCUUUCGGCGGGGAAGAAAUCGCACUGGAUAAUACCUAGUGUGGAUGACGGUACCCGAAUAAGAAGCACCGGCUAACUACGUGCCAGCCGCCGCCGUAACAC
rnacentral:rRNA from 1 species